GGCGCUGGGGAGGAGUGAAACCAGUUCUCGGGCCAGCCUACCCCGGGCGCUGGCGGAGGAGGGCUGGCCGAUACUCGAUACUCCGUCCGAGGGCCUCCACACGUGUGCACUGUGUCUGCAUUGCUAAUCAGGACCUCUGAGGAACCUAGACUAAUCCAGUCUGGUUCCCCAUUGAAGUCAUAGUCAAGAAGCACAGCUUGUGUUAGAUCACAGAUCCUGGAAACAUCCUUAGCAUAAGUUAUGGCAAAAGGAUUGCAGGAGGUCACGCGCGGAGACCAAGGACACCAAGGUGGUCCUCUCUCUUGAAACCUUUGUAACUAUUAAGGCUGGAGUGCCAUUUCAAGAAAAAGGAAGGCAAAGAAAUGAGCUAUAGGAAGCCAUGGGCUGCAUGGCACUCUGCUGUGUGGCAGUACCGAGUUAUUUUGAACAAACGCCCUGUUCGUGCUGAAUACUUGGGUUGUUUCUAAUCAUUUGCUCAUACAAACAACGUUCACAAGACCUGAUCCUGGGUGGAUGUCAUCUGUAUUUCUAUAAGGUAUCCUACAGCAUAGAUGCUUAGAAGUGCGGUGGCUGGUCAAAGGGCUGAGUUAUGUAUUCCAAAACCUGACACAUUCUCAAUAUAAUGAAUUAAACUGGCUGGUGGAGGUAAGAUGAAGAAUUUAGAAUCCUGACUGACAUCCUGGCUCCUGGCACCCUCCAGCUUCUGCAUCCAACGUGCUGGGUACCCCCCCUGACAUGGGGCUGACCUCCUGGCCUUGACUGAACGUCUCUGUGGCCACUCCCUGACCGCCAGCAGCCCACUAGCCGCCGCCUCACAAAUAUUGCCUAUGACAAGUAGGAUGCCACGGAAAGAAUUUGUAAAGACUUGCAUGAAGUACAGCCAGCCGACUCAGAACAAGAAUACCCACGAGAGCCAGCCAGAGUGCCUCAAGUCUGCGGAAGAGUGGCUCAGGCUAUUUUCAGUAAAUUUUGCUUUCAGUAAGUGUUGAUCUAGAAGGCUACAUCUUUUUCGUGUGUACUCAGAUCAUGAAAAAUGGCUUUGAGUAAACCAUUGGAGAAGCAUGAAGUGUCCACAACGUGCACAGACGACAACACGGAGCUCCUGCCUCCGUGCACCUGAGAGAAUGUUUCUGUUCCCUUCUGCUCCUCAACUUUUAGCUACCUUCACUGUGGAAGUUUCAUAGGCAGGCUGCCAGAAACCAGAUGAACACAUUUCUGAGAAAAUGAAAUAUAUAUACGUAUAUUCCAAAAUUUGUAAAUUUAAAACUAUUCAAAACAAAGACAUUAAAUCAGAUCCCAACAGAAGAAUACAACGCCAGGAUUGCAGGCCACCUGAUACUUAGCAUCUUGUUCUCAAAUGAAGAAAAACAAAAGAGAAGCCAAACCAAAGUAUCUGGAAAAUAUAUCUCAACUCAGCUAUGAUGAGCCUAGUUUUAGAUCAGUCGUGCUAAUUUUUUGUAGUACAAAGAAAUAGUGAAUAACUAUAUGUAAUAACUUUAAUAAUCUCAAGCACUUUAAAAGUGUAGGAAGAAAGAUUUGGCAACAGUCCAUCUUAAAAAAUAAUUGUACGUCUAUAGGGUGGCCACAAAGUCUUUCCUAGUUUAAAGUUACGUGGAUGUUUCUCUCCACAAAAAUCUUAUUUCCACCGUGUCGUUCCAGACGUCUUCCCCCACACUGAUAGCUGAAAAUCACUGAAGCAUCCAUGAUCGCGGGUGCUAACUCUUUGAGUCUUGUUACACGGAGUGGAGGACUUUUCUUUUAUAACGUCUAAAGGCAAGAUUCCCCAUGUGCUAAGUAGCGGCCCCGAAGGAGGUCACGCUGAGGAAUGUUCUCUAGCUCCAAGAGCAGAAUGUGGAUGCACUCACCGCCUGUUGCGGGAGGGAGGCCGUCUCACUUUCUCGUUUCUAUACCAACCACCACGAAGUGCGUUCAGAUGAACAGAGUGGCUGGCGCUUGCUUUGCAACAAUAUGGUUCGUUCUAUCAGGUGAGCUUCUGAAAUCGUGGCUCAUGUCCUGCCAUGAGAAGGACUCUGCUUGAUUUCCUUGGAAUAAUGGAUUGAUUACUAAGGAUACACUCUCAUGCAGAGGGACUUUGUGGCUGUUCAGGAAGCAUCAGAGGAGCUCUAAUGGAUCAGUCACGUUUGUACCAUCUUUGGGGGAAGAGGCCAUUACCCUGUUAUCACUCUGACUGGUUGCAAAGGUAAUUCAUUCGACUAAUGCUAAUUGGAGGACCGGGACCUACCUUGGGCCCUGGAUACACAGAACUGUGGGGUGCCCUCCUGGAGCACUCAGUCUAGGGGUGGAGACACGAACAUUCACAAACAUUUACGACAUACUAAGGGCUGAAGGAGUGAUGUCCACGAAUGGGUUUAUAGCUCAAGAGGUGUUUAUUCUACUAUGGGUGUGAAAACUGGGGCCAGGAAGGCUUACAAAGGGAGUGACAUUGAGCUGAAUUUUAAAAGACAGUAGCUUUUGGGGCGCCUGGGUGGCACAGCGGUUAAGCUUCUGCCUUCGG